rnacentral:lncRNA from 1 species
CAGGAUGUGUCUUCUUCAGACUCUUGAGAAUCUGGUUCCACUGAUUUCGGAAAACUGCUUUUGUCAGGAAAGCUAUUGGAAGCAGGAUAAGUUUGGGGGUCUGAGAGGAUAAGGAGUUGGGAUACGGUGACCUGGGAGGAUUUGCACUGUUACAGAGGGACUGGAGAAGCACGGAAAGCAGGACAAGGAGGGCUCUGAUGCCGGGCUCCUCUGCAUGUGCAGGGACAUCCAGCCCUGGAGAAGCUGCGCCGGGAUUACUACCAGUGGCUGAUGGACACGCAGCAAGAGGAGCGAGCAGGUGAACUUCAGGAGAGCCAAGGGGAUGGGCUGGCAGCCAUCAGCCUGUACCUCAAAGCUGGGCUUCCCGCCAAAGCGGCUCGCCUGGUGCUGACCCGAGAGGAGCUGCUGGCCACCACAGAGCUGGUGGAGCACAUCACCACGGCCCUCAUCAGGGGGACCUCCACGAGAGGGCAGGUGACCUCUUUGAGAAGAUUAGAAAUCCACAGCGGGCCCUUGAGUGCUAUUGUAAAGGCAACGCAUUCAUGAAAGCUGUAGAGCUGGCUCGAUCGGCCUUCCCCAUGGAGGUGGUGAGACUGGAGGAGGCAUGGGGGGACCACUUGGUGCAGCAGAAGCAGCUUGAUGCCGCCAUUAAUCAUUACAUCGAAGCCAGGUAUGGCAGCAUGGGAGUGAGUGGAGAUUUGGGAGAGAAGUGAGAGGUGGUGGGCAAGGGAAGACACCAAGUCUG